rnacentral:rRNA from 1 species
AUUGAACGCUGGCGGCAUGCCUAACACAUGCAAGUCGAACGGCAGCACGGUCUAGUUUACUAGAUGGGUGGCGAGUGGCGGACGGGUGAGUAAUGCGCAGGAAUAUGCCUUAAAGAGGGGGAUAACUUGGGGAAACUCAAGCUAAUACCGCAUAAUCUCUAUGGAGAAAAGCUGGGGACCUUCGGGCCUGGCGCUUUAAGAUUAGCCUGCGUCCGAUUAGCUAGUUGGUAGGGUAAAGGCCUACCAAGGCGACGAUCGGUAGCUGGUCUGAGAGGAUGACCAGCCCCACUGGAACUGAGACACGGUCCAGACUCCUACGGGAGGUAGCAGUGGGAAAUAUUGGACAAUGGGGGCAACCCUGAUCCAGCAAUGCCGCGUGUGUGAAGAAGGCCUGAGGGUUGUAAAGCACUUUCAGUGGGGAGGAGGAUUGCUAGGUUAAGAGCUAGGUAAUUGGACGUUACCCACAGAAGAAGCACCGGCUAACUCCGUGCCAGCAGCCGCCGUAA